UACAGAGGUCCCAAGCGUUGUUCGGAUUCACUGGGCGUAAAGGGUGCGUAGGUGGUGAGGUAAGUCGGAUGUGAAAGCUCCGAGCUCAACUCGGAAAUGGCAUUGGAAACUACCUUGCUCGAGGGUUUGAGGGGGGACUGGAAUACUUGGUGUAGCAGUGAAAUGCGUAGAUAUUCGCAAGAACACCAGUGGCGAAGGCGGCUCACUGGCCCGAUACUGACGCUGAGGCACGAAAGCGUGGGGAGCAAACAGG
rnacentral:rRNA from 1 species